rnacentral:tRNA from 1 species
UGGUAGAGCAUCUGACUUUUAAUCAGAGGGUCGAAGGUUCGAGUCCUUCAUGGCUCACCA